AUCCCAGACACAAUCACGUUGGGAGAAUGUUAUCAAACUGCUGACGCGCUGUACCACUUUCGAAACACUUGGCGGCACCAGCGGAAGGACGGCUUAUCUCGGAAGUGAUGGUGAAAAAGUGAAAUUGCCGUAUCUCCUUCGCAGCCGCAGAUUCUGUAAUAAUUUAUGAGUAAUGGCUCAUGUGAAGAAAAGAUAACGGCGCGACUUUAUCGGGACUGCAAUUGGAUAAGAUGAAAAUAUCCCAAUAAUAAACUUCCAGUUUGUUCUUCCACCGCCGUUCGAGAAUGCGCGGAUUUGAUGGAGAACCGAUGGGGAGGAAAAUUCGGCCUGAGCGUCAAAGAGAAGCGAUUGCAGCAUCGCAAUCGCACUGCGAAAAGAUGCAGUGAAGGCGAAGACGACUGCUUGACUCAUUCAUAAACGAUGAUAGGACGGAGUGGGGCGGAGACAAAAGUUGAUUGACCAAUCGGGUUGAUCGCGUUAAAACUAUGCGUAGGGCGUGUGUGGUGGUCGAAUCACUGCCAACAUUUUUUUAUUUUGGCAAAUUGACCGCUGGUGCCUGGUGGUGACUAGCCGAAACUUCAUCCGAAUUGAUCCGGAUCCUCAGAAAUUUAUGCGACGGCCUAAUGUGCAAGCUGCAACAAAAGGCAUGGACGCGGAACCCGACCCGGGCGUACAACUGCAUAGAUUUCAGCCCGAAACGCAGUUUCGCUCCUGCCAAAAUUCAACCGCCGGGCAUACGAUUACGCACAAAUACAAAGAUACUUCUAUAUGAACCCCUUUUAUGUUCGCCCAGUAUCCUAAAUUCCAAAAAAGUUCUAUGAUCAUGAAAUUACUCUCAUGUCAGGAGAUGUGCAUGAUAGUCGAUUGUGCAUGAUUCUGGAUGUGACGUUACUUACAUUCGUUUCAGAACUUCUUAACUGUUUGAGUACAAUCAUACAAUGCUUUUUUGGUCUGCACACGUAGCCUGACGUACAGUAGAUUAUGUACUUAGUUGUCUCAAGCACAAUUUGGGCCAGAGGUUCGGCAUCGAAAUUCAACGUGGAAGCGCGGCAUCCAUCCUGGGAACGGCACCGUCUAAUUUAGAUCAGAAAUGUUCUCUGUA